rnacentral:misc_RNA from 1 species
CUGCAAUGCAGAACGACCUGUGAACUCGUAAAAACAACUGGGUGAUAGGGAGAUGGGCAUUAAGUUCUGAUCCUCAUCGCCUUCCAGCGUGCCAUUCUGGUCUCAUUUUUGGGUACCAUGGAUGUCUUGUUGGAUCUAAACAAAACUCCGGCACGGAAUGUGCCAAGGAUAACAAAAAUUGAGAAGGGCUUGUCUUGUUAUGUCCCGUUCGCGGUGUGCAUAACGGUCUUGGCCUCCUUGGAAUCA